ACACACUAGAAAUGUUCAUUAUCGUAUGCAACAGGAUAUGUGCAAUUCUCUUCCACUUGACUUGGAAACACUUCUUGUUUUAAGAUUUCAAAAAAGUCAUGCUAAACAAAAACAACGGGCCUUUAUAUUACAUAAUCUCAGCAUGUAACAAUCUUUGUUGUAUGUGCACUUCGGACAUAUAAAAUCCCAUGCACAUUAUAACGCAUACGGACACAGCUGUUUGAAGGACAAUCAAUAUAUAUUUUGUGACUUAGAAAAAAACGCAGAUGGAUAGGCGCAUCUGGAUUUCGAUAGUAAUACUGGUGGCUCUAGUAAUGCCAUGUUCCACAAACCUUCGGGGUAAACAGCUUUGUUGGAUUGUUGAUGGGGCUUGCGUCGACAACCAGCGGCGAGUGGCGUUGAACAGACCAACAUGCGGCAGUGUUUCAGGCAAAAGGAGGGAGUGUCGAGUAGCUUCCGGUUACUGUGGCUGUUUCCAAAAGCCGAGUGGAACCGUGAUUGCUUCGAGUGGCGGAGAAACAAUUCCUACAAAUGGUGUUGGAUAUUAACUAUCUUCAUCAGGUUGCGUCACUUAGACAUAUGGAAUCUAAUUACCCUUGGAAACAAUAUGAAUGAUUCGAUGUCCAAGGGUAUUCCUUGGUCAAAAUAUUUACGUGAGAUUUAGUAAAUUUGGUGGCUAUGAAAAUAAAAUACAUAUAUAUGUAAAAAAAACAAAAAAACAUUGACUGGCCAGUUAUGUAUGAAUUUGUGUUGAUGCAUUGGAAAAGAUGUAUUCCAGUUGUUUAUAGAUCUAUUAUAUUUCUUGAAUAUAGUUAUAGAACAAAUA